CGAUUAAUACCUAUAUAUAUAAGUGGCGAGCAUUCGUUGAGACGUGAUCACAUGUAUCACAAUAGGUCUUCAGAUGACGAAGAAAUGAAUGCAAGCCCAACCAACGAGAACGUUAUGUUCAAAGAAAAGAAAGACUAUUCGCCUUUAGGUUUCUCGUAUGAUCACUCUCCUGUUGAGACAACGACGGAAUUGUAGAUAACUCUUGUAAAGUCAUUCUAAUUGUAAUUUAACCGUAGUCUAAGUACGUAAUUACAAGGUUAUAGGUUGUAAUAAUUUUAUGCUGAUUGUGUAAUUUUAUAUUUUAAUAAAUGUUUUUAUUGAC